AGUGAACGCUGGCGGUAGGCCUAACACAUGCAAGUCGAACGGCAGCACAGUAAGAGCUUGCUCUUACGGGUGGCGAGUGGCGGACGGGUGAGGAAUACAUCGGAAUCUACUUUUUCGUGGGGGAUAACGUAGGGAAACUUACGCUAAUACCGCAUACGACCUACGGGUGAAAGCAGGGGAUCUUCGGACCUUGCGCGAUUGAAUGAGCCGAUGUCGGAUUAGCUAGUUGGCGGGGUAAAGGCCCACCAAGGCGACGAUCCGGAGCUGGGAUGAGAGGAUGAUCAGCCACACUGGAACUGAGACACGGUCCAGACUCCUACGGGAGGCAGCAGUGGGGAAUAUUGGACAAUGGGCGCAAGCCUGAUCCAGCCAUACCGCGUGGGUGAAGAAGGCCUUCGGGUUGUAAAGCCCUUUUGUUGGGAAAGAAAAGCAGCAGGUUAAUACCCCGCUGUUCUGACGGUACCCAAAGAAUAAGCACCGGCUAACUUCGUG
rnacentral:rRNA from 1 species